rnacentral:lncRNA from 10 species
UUUGUUUUUUAUACUGGCUGUGUAUCUCUAAACUCUGUUCAAUAUACUUUUAGUUCUAAUAAGUUUUUGCAGCCAUCUGCAAAUAAAGACUGUUCCACUUCUUCCUUUCUAAUCUGUGUAUCUUUUAUUACUUUUUCUUGCCUUACAACUCUAGCUAUGACAUCCAGUAUAAUGAAGAGUAAAAAGUUAAAAAGAAUGGACAUCUAUGUCUUAUUUCUGAUUUUAGAAAAUAUCAAGGCUUUCACAGCUGAGUUUGAUGUUAAUUUUAAGUUUUUUUUUAAAAUGACCUCAAUCAGCUUAAGGAAGUUCUCUUCUAUUCCUAGUUUGCUGAAUUGUUUCUCAUGAAUGAACACUGAAUUUUGUUCAAUGCUUUUUCUGCUUUCCUGAUCAUAUGGAUUUUCUUUUUUUUAUAUUAAUAUGAUGAAUUACACUGAUUUUUUUUCACAAGUUAAACCGAACUUACAUUGCCAGGAUAAACUGCACUUUGGUCAUGAUGUAUUAUACAUUUUUCAAAAGCUAUUUCUUGAUUGUUACCAUUUUGUUAAAGAGUUCUGCAUCCAUGUUCAUAAGGUGUAUUGGUCUACAGCUCUCUUUUCUUAUGACACCUUUGAAACUGAUUCCUGAUAUUUACUUUCUGCUAUCAUUAUGAGUCAAUAAAGAGUGGGAAAUCGAGUAGGAUGGUGUGUGUUUACUCCUGUUUGACAAUUAUUCAUAGAGUAAAAAAUUACAUUAAUGAUUACAUUAAUGAUUCAGUGUAGCUCAGUCUCUUUCACAGGUCUUCUGCUUUUAAAACUAAUCUGCGGCUCGGUGCCGUGGCUCACACCUGUAAUCCCAACACUUUGGGAGGCCAAGGCGGAUGGAUCACAAGGUCAGGAGAUCAAGACCAUCCUGGCUAACACGGUGACCCCUUGUCUCUACU